CCAAAGUUCUAGAGUCUGGACGUCUGAGAUCAGGGUGCCAGCACUGUCGAGGUCACAGACUGCAGACCUCCUUGUAUCUUCAAAUGGAGGAAAGAGGACAAGAGAGCUCCUGUGGUCCCUUUUAUCAAGAUGAAUGCACAAGGAAAAUGUUGUACAUUUGCACAUUGGAGUACACUUCAGCCAUAAAAAGAAUGAGAUGCUGUCAUUUGCAACAACAGAGUUGUGCAGUCAUCAGUUAUCUUCAUGGGACGAGUAUGUCCGGAGGGGAGGAAAAUCUGAUAAAAAAUAUUGAAAUUCAAUGAAGGCUUCCACUGCUUAACAAAUGUUACAUAGAAUUCUUCACCGAUGUGAGGAACAUCAGUUUGCAAAAGAAACUCUGCACUUUCAGGGAUAAAAAGACUGAGACUCCAAAUGGUGCUCCUAGUAUUGGUGAAGCUUAGGGAGAGAGCCCAUUGUGUUUCUAUCUAACUGCUCUCAGGAAAAGGUAGAAAAUGUCUCAGAUUCCACAAGAAAGAUAGAAUGUGUGAUAAGAUGACAAUCAGGCCACAACAGAAUAUCCUAGUAGGGUACAUAAAUUAGCAUCAACAUGGACCAAUUAGCAAGGAAGUGUCUUCAUAAUAUUCCCGUAAUUAGACUCUCAUUAGCUUGAUAUUUGAUGCUGGACUAACCCUAUUUGAAUGAUAUAAGCACUGGUACUUAGAAUUUUCAGAGACUGGUGCCCCUAAUGGAAAAAUGCAGGAUGAAAUGCUAGUGAAGAUUAACUGGGAGAAAAAUAGGUAAAUGUGAAAAAGAAAACGUGUGUCUGACUGUAUACAGAGUUCUAAUUGUAAAAAAUUAAUCGAAUGUAUAAAAUAUCGACAGCCCAAAUAAAUGUUAUUUUCCUG
rnacentral:lncRNA from 1 species